AUUUAUAUAGUUUAAUAAAACAUUACAUUUUCAUUGUAAAAAUAAAAAAUUUUUUUUUUAUAAAUU
rnacentral:tRNA from 1 species